UCCGUAGGGUGCAGGCGUUAAUCGGAAUUACUGGGCGUAAAGCGUGCGCAGGCGGUUUGCUAAGACAGGUGUGAAAUCCCCGGGCUUAACCUGGGAACUGCGCUUGUAACUGGCAAGCUAGAGUGUGGCAGAGGGGGGUGGAAUUCCAGGUGUAGCAGUGAAAUGCGUAGAGAUCUGGAGGAACACCGAUGGCGAAGGCAGCCCCCUGGGCUAACACUGACGCUCAUGCACGAAAGCGUGGGGAGCAAACAGG
rnacentral:rRNA from 1 species